UGGGGAAUUUUGGACAAUGGGCGAAAGCCUGAUCCAGCAAUGCCGCGUGUGUGAAGAAGGCCUUCGGGUUGUAAAGCACUUUUGUCCGGAAAGAAAUGGCUCUGGUUAAUACCUGGGGUCGAUGACGGUACCGGAAGAAUAAGGACCGGCUAACUACGUGCCAGCAGCCGCGGUAAUACGUAGGGUCCAAGCGUUAAUCGGAAUUACUGGGCGUAAAGCGUGCGCAGGCGGUUGUGCAAGACCGAUGUGAAAUCCCCGAGCUUAACUUGGGAAUUGCAUUGGUGACUGCACGGCUAGAGUGUGUCAGAGGGGGGUAGAAUUCCACGUGUAGCAGUGAAAUGCGUAGAGAUGUGGAGGAAUACCGAUGGCGAAGGCAGCCCCCUGGGAUAACACUGACGCUCAUGCACGAAAGCGUGGGGAGCAAACAGGAUUAGAUACCCUGGUAGUCCACGCCCUAAAACGAUGUCAACUAGUUGUUGGGGAUUCAUUUCCUUAGUAACG
rnacentral:rRNA from 1 species